UCCCUCCCUCCAGCCACUAUUAGGUCACUCAGACGGCCGUGCGUGCGAAGUGCAACCGCACAAUGACUAGUGCAACGCGUGCACCGCUCUCGCUUCGAGGACGAUCUCUAUUUCACUUGGCGUCCUUUGCCACAUUAUUGGUGGGGACCGAUCUUUCUAGCCGCGUGAUGCAAUCGGCUGCUGGGGUCCCAAGAAGGUGACUCGAUCAAGACGAAAGCUGCGUGAGAGUAUAACUGAUAUGGAGAUAUAGGGAGUAUAUUAGUUAUACCCAUAAGAAAUCAAAGAAAAUCUUUUCAGCCAUUCAAUGAUUACCUUUACCGUCGAAAACCUAAACUUAACAGUAUCAACUUGAAUUAGCACAAAGCGUAUUAGCGUAACACGUAUGCUAAUUACUUAUUUGAAUAAUUUCAAUAGUUAGAUUUUAGACAGAUCGUGAUUAUAAUCUGGUGACGGUGCAAGUGAAUUUUUCAUUCGUCAUCCUCAGUCAUCAAUAUUCUGUUUUAGCACUGCUUAGAUAUAUCCAUGUAUGGUGAUAUAAAUAUAUAUGGUGACAGCUAAA